AAUUUUUCGUUGUUCCGUGUUUCACGGAUCUUUUGCUACUGGCACCGACCCUCCUUCUCUUGCGCCGCCGCCACUUGCUGGCUUCCUCUCUCCGACGUUGUCCCGAUUUGCCUCCGUCGCCUGUCCCUCUCCUACCCCUCCGCCCCCAGCGCCGCCUCCUCCCGGCGAACCGCAGCCCUCCAGAUCGGCGCCGCCGCCCCAUCUUCUCCUCGCUAUUCUCCUGGCGCCGCUGAAGCCCUUCGCCUGCCCCGCCAGUGCCGCUGCUCCUCCGCCACCGAACCCUGGCCUCCAUCUCCACCACUCUUCCCAUGAAGCGAAGCAUGUGGUAGCGUGGAGGAAGGAGUUCAUGGACGGAGAGGUCGCGUGUGCGAUCGCCGAGGAAGAUCCAGCCAUCGCUUGGGAAGGAUGGUGGUGGUUGUUGUUGUGCGUGCGUCUAGCUUGUCGAGGAUCAGGAUUAGCAUCUCGUCAGUGCAGGAAGGCAUAGGGAGAAGCUACAGAAGUUGAGCGCGAUCCUGUUUGUGCCGCUGGAUAACCUCUAUACAUAGAGAAGGGCUACAAUAUAUUUAGUGGUAAGAGCUGCCCAGGAUUAUUGGCUAUUAUGAGGAGGUUGGCAACAAGCAUGGCCUACAUUCCUCGCAAAAAAAAACAAGCAUGGCCUACAUGGAUCAGUAUCCUUCAUAUCCUUCAGACCAUUUUUAGUGAACAAAUUGGAUCCACAAUAUCUACUUGAUGGCCGUAGAGAAGUAUAUGAGUUAUUGUCACUGAAGAAUUCAUUCACUUCUUUGUUACUCAAUAGAACAAUCUUCAUAUUCUGAUCAAAAUCAAAUACUCCACGGGCACUUGGCUAGUCCCAGCAGUAUUCCAGUUGCUAAUCGAUCGAUCGAUCAACUCUGUAGCUCGUGACGGACAGCAAAUCGAAGCUUGCGGCGGACCGUGUUGCGGUGUUUCGGUCGGGCACGGAAGGAGCACCGGCAGGUCGCGGGGGACGGCGCCGCGUCGCCGGCGGCGCAAAUCGUGGCGGCAGCCGCUGGCGGCGGGUGGCACUGUCGGGCUCGAUUCCGACGGGAAAUUGGCUCGGGCAGGCUCGUAGGGGACCGGCGAGGGUCGCGCUCAAUCAGAUUCAGGCGUGUCCGUGAUCGAUCUGAUAUCAGGCUGUUUUGCGUUACCGUUUUACGUAGUCAAAUACUGACACCUUUUUUCCUUAUCGGUUAAAUCUGAGCGGUAAACAGUAUGGACCGUCCGAUAACUUUUGUAAAAUCUGAACCAUAGAAUAUCUGCUACUUUAAUUAGAUAUUAUAUAGAUGGAUAUAAAUCUGUCAUAAUAAUAUAUAAAAAAGUAUUUUAUGAUCAAAA